rnacentral:rRNA from 1 species
CUUGGUCAUUUAGAGGAAGUAAAAGUCGUAACAAGGUUUCCGUAGGUGAACCUGCGGAAGGAUCAUUAUUGAAUUUGAAAAGUAGAGGGGGAGCCGGUCUUCUUUGAGGGGGACCGCUCUUCCGAUACGACCCACACCUGUGCACGUUUGACCCGCCUUCCGGUGGGUCCACACACAACACACCCUUAAGAAACUUUGUAUGUGAACUUUGUAAUGAUUAUGACAACUUUCAACAACGGAUCUCUUGGCUCUCGCAUCGAUGAAGAACGCAGCGAAAUGCGAUAAGUAAUGUGAAUUGCAGAAUUCAGUGAAUCAUCGAAUCUUUGAACGCACCUUGCGCCCUUUGGUAAUCCGAGGGGCAUGCCUGUUUGAGUGUCUUGAAGCUCUCAAACCGUUCGGGUCUUUUUAAUUGGGCUCGGUUUCGGUUUGGAUUUGUGGACGUUCCUUUGCCGGGAACUCUCCUCCUCCGAAAGGGGGGGGGGGGGGGUGUCGGCUCGUCCGAAAUGCAUUAGCCGGCUUCUGUUGGGGCUUUGCGAAACUCGGUGUGAUAAGUAUCACUCGCUGAGGACAAGUGACCCCGAAACAGGCUGCUUACAGUUGUCCGGAAGGACGAUUUCGUCUAAGUGUUUGACCUCAAAUCAGGUAGGACUACCCGCUGAACUUAAGCAUAUCAAUAAGCGGAGGAAAAGAAACUAACAAGGAUUCCCCUAGUAACGGCGAGUGAAGCGGGAAGAGCUCAAAUUUGAAAUCUGGCGGUCUUUGGCCGUCCGAGUUGUAUUCUAUAGAAGUGCCAUCCGUGCUGGACCGUGUACAAGUCUCUUGGAACAGAGCGUCAUAGAGGGUGAGAAUCCCGUCCUUGACACGGAACCCCAGUGCAUUGCGUUGUGCUUUCUAAGAGUCGAGUUGUUUGGGAAUGCAGCUCAAAUCGGGUGGUAAAUUCCAUCUAAAGCUAAAUAUUGGCGAGAGACCGAUAGCGAACAAGUACCGUGAGGGAAAGAUGAAAAGCACUUUGGAAAGAGAGUUAAACAGUAUGUGAAAUUGUUGAAAGGGAAACGCUUGAAGUCAGUCUUGUCUCUUGGGACUCAGCCUUGCUUUUUCUGCUCGGUGCACUUCCCACCUGACAGGCCAGCGUUGAUUUUGACCGUCGGAAAUGGGUCUCAGGAAUGUGGCACCUCCGGGUGUGUUAUAGCCUUUGAUUUUUGCGACGGUUGGGAUCAAGUCUAACGGCACGCCUCCGGCGGUGCUUGUGCUGGCGUAAUGGCUUUAAACGACCCGUCUUGAAACACGGACC